CAGCCGCCGCGGUAAUACGUAGGUGGCAAGCGUUGUCCGGAAUUAUUGGGCGUAAAGGGCUCGCAGGCGGUUUCUUAAGUCUGAUGUGAAAGCCCCCGGCUCAACCGGGGAGGGUCAUUGGAAACUGGGAAACUUGAGUGCAGAAGAGGAGAGUGGAACUCCACGUGUAGCGGUGAAAUGCGUGGAGAUGUGGGGGAACACCAGUGGCGAAGGCGACUCUCUGGUCUGUAACUGACGCUGAGGAGCGAAAGCGUGGGGAGCGAACAGGAUUAGAUACCCGGGUAGUCCCUGUCUCUUAUAC
rnacentral:rRNA from 1 species